UCAAACUUGGUCAUUUAGAGGAAGUAAAAGUCGUAACAAGGUAACCGUAGGUGAACCUGCGGUUGGAUCAUUAACGAGAACGAUCUCGGGGGUGUCUCCUGCCGUUUCCAAUGUGUGGGCGGCGGGAGACCUUCCGACAACACCCCAUCGUGUGAACCAACAGCGUCGUCUUUUUGGUGGUCGUCCACCUCAGACGAUGCGACACACCCUUUUUUUUUCCGAUCCUUCUGACGCCGCGAAAGCGCAAAACAAAUGAGAAACAACUUUAGACAACGGAUCUCUUGGCUCUCGCAUCGAUGAAGAACGCAGC
rnacentral:misc_RNA from 1 species